rnacentral:rRNA from 1 species
GCAUCGAUGAAGAACGCAGCGAAACGCGAUAGGUAAUGUGAAUUGCAGAAUUCCGUGAAUCAUCGAAUCUUUGAACGCACCUUGCGCUCCAUGGCAUUCCGUGGAGCAUGCCUGUUUGAGUGCCGCGAAAUCUCCCACCCCUAGCGGUUGUCGCAAGGCGCCGCCGGGCGGCGGGGUUGGUUGGGUGCCGCUGCCUGGGCUUUGGCCCAGGCUCGCCCGAAAUGCAUGAGCGCUUAGCACUCGCACCGUCUCGAGGGAAGGCGGCGGAGCUGGCAUCUGCGCAUGGCAUGAUACGUCAUUUGCUGUGUGGCAGCCCAGCGACCCGAGAGUGUGUGUGCGCUACUACACGCCCUUUCAUUUCUGGUCUCAAAUCAGGUAGGAUCACCCGCUGAACUUAAGCAUAUCAAUAAGCGGAGGAA